AGUGAACGCUGGCGGUAGGCCUAACACAUGCAAGUCGAACGGCAGCACAGUAAGAGCUUGCUCUUACGGGUGGCGAGUGGCGGACGGGUGAGGAAUACAUCGGAAUCUACUUUUUCGUGGGGGAUAACGUAGGGAAACUUACGCUAAUACCGCAUACGACCUACGGGUGAAAGCAGGGGAUCUUCGGACCUUGCGCGAUUGAAUGAGCCGAUGUCGGAUUAGCUAGUUGGCGGGGUAAAGGCCCACCAAGGCGACGAUCCGUAGCUGGUCUGAGGGGAUGAUCAGCCACACUGGAACUGAGACACGGUCCAGACUCCUACGGGAGGCAGCAGUGGGGAAUAUUGGACAAUGGGCGCAAGCCUGAUCCAGCCAUACCGCGUGGGUGAAGAAGGCCUUCGGGUUGUAAAGCCCUUUUGUUGGGAAAGAAAAGCAGCAGGUUAAUACCCCGCUGUUCUGACGGUACCCGAAGAAUAAGCACCGGCUAACUUCGUG
rnacentral:rRNA from 1 species